GUGCAGGUGGUGAGUUCGAAGAUACAUUGGCAACUACAGGAGGUAGAGGUGGGUCAACGAUGUCUGAGACUUCAAGGACUGGAGCGGGAGCUUCUGCCGGUGGCUCAGCUCCUUGGAUAAUGCCAAUAAGAGAACCAGGUUGAACUGGUAAGAUGGCUUCCUUGGCAUUCAAAUCAAAACAUGGACUUCCUGCAAUAACAAAUGGAACGGUGAGCAAUUCAUUCUUGUUUUCCUCUUGCCUGUGGUUUAGGGACCAUAUAUUGUUUCAAGCAUGGAGUGCGAUCAGGCUGGUCUAACUGUCAAAGGCCCAAAAGAAAUUCUUCAUGUCAAAUCACCUACUUUUUUUGUGUAAGCGAGCACUCUUGCACUUGUGUGUAGACACGUACACUUUAAAAAAUGGUGUGGUUGACUGGACCUAUAAAGGAAUUUAACUCAUGCAGUGCUUACUCAUGUAUUUGUUGGCUGUUGCCGGGUAUUCAGUGAUGAUCCCAUCAACUCCAAAUCCUGCUACAUAAGUAGCCAACUCCAGAAUAGGAUCCGCAAAAUAAUCGAAUGCGAGUGAAAUGUACUCGUUCCUCAAAACAGAGACAUAUACUGAGAUAUUUGCUGCAUGCAUUUCGUCAAUAACACUUGUAUUGCUCAAAAGGAAGCUCUCUGAAAUUGGCAUGAUGGUGGGCCUCGUGACAGUGACUGCAUCAGCAUACUUUUUUAUCUCUUCUACUGGCUGCUUUGGUGCAUCGCUUAUUUUCUCUUCAAUUGUCAACACUCUUUUGUAGGUCGAAACAUUCUUGAACUGUGAUAAUACGGAGCUGUCAUCGGAUUGGAUCAAGACUUGUUGUGUGGAUUGUUUGUCUAAUGUGGCAUUGCUUAAGGCUUUGGAAACAGUGUCUACUAUGCCAAGACCCUUCUUCGACGCUAGGUAAGCAGCAUUCUGAUAAGGGAUGAGAAAACUUGGUCAUGCUUGUGAAAAGGGCUCCUAAUCAAAAUAAGGAAGAAACUAAAGCCAUUUUUACCUCUAUGUUUAUCAGAACACCUGAUACUGCCUUUGACUUUGCAAGCUCCAGAAAUUCUGAAAGAGUGACAAAUUUGCCUUUGUUCUUAUUUGCUGGAUUUCUCUGGAAGCCAGCAUCACUACCAAAAGGGCUGACAAGUUGAGCUGAAACAAGGAAGCUUGUUGGUGAGCAAUUUCAUCAGACAUUAACCUGCAGGCAAUAUCAAUAUGCAUGGAAAAGAUUAUGGGGCAACAUUACGCUUCAAACUCUGGAUUUCACUCCAU
rnacentral:lncRNA from 1 species